rnacentral:misc_RNA from 1 species
GAUAAGAACGUAGUGAAAUGCGAUAAGUAAUGUGAAUUGCAGAAUUCAGUGAAUCAUCGAGUUUUUGAACGCAUAUUGCGCCCUCUGGUAUUCCGGGGGGCAUGCCUGUUCGAGCGUCAUUAAAUAACCCUCAAGCAUAGCUUGGUGUUGGGCUUUUUUACGUCCUUGACUGGGAUGGGCCUAAAAAUUAGUGGCGAUGGCUUUUUUACUUUCAAGCGUAGUAAAUCUCGUCUUGCUAAAGAGGAAAAAGAUUUUUUUUCUGCCAAAAAUUUUAACAUUUAAAGUUGACCUCGGAUCAGGUAGGAUUACCCGCUGAACUUAAGCAUAUCAAUAAGCGGAGGA